GACGAACGCUGGCGGCGUGCUUAACACAUGCAAGUCGAACGGAAAGGCCCUGCUUUUGUGGGGUGCUCGAGUGGCGAACGGGUGAGUAACACGUGAGUAACCUGCCCUUGACUUUGGGAUAACUUCAGGAAACUGGGGCUAAUACCGGAUAGGAGCUCCUGCUGCAUGGUGGGGGUUGGAACGUUUCGGCGGUUGGGGAUGGACUCGCGGCUUAUCAGCUUGUUGGUGGGGUAGUGGCUUACCCAGGCUUUGACAGGUAGCCGGCCUGAGAGGGUGACCGGCCACAUGGGGACUGAGAUACGGCCCAGACUCCUACGGGAGGCAGCAGUGGGGAAUAUUGCACAAUGGGCGGAAGCCUGAUGCAGCAACGCCGCGUGCGGGAUGACGGCCUUCGGGUUGUAAACCGCUUUCGCCUGUGACGAAGCGUGAGUGACGGUAAUGGGUAAAGAAGCACCGGCUAACUACGUG
rnacentral:rRNA from 1 species